rnacentral:rRNA from 1 species
GACGAACGCUGGCGGCGUGCUUAACACAUGCAAGUCGAACGGAAAGGCCCUGCUUUUGUGGGGUGCUCGAGUGGCGAACGGGUGAGUAACACGUGAGUAACCUGCCCUUGACUUUGGGAUAACUUCAAGAAACUGGGGCUAAUACCGGAUAGGAGCUCCUGCUGCAUGGUGGGGGUUGGAAAGUUUCGGCGGUUGGGGAUGGGCUCGCGGCUUAUCAGCUUGUUGGUGGGGUAGUGGCUUACCAAGGCUUUGACGGGUAGCCGGCCUGAGAGGGUGACCGGCCACAUUGGGACUGAGAUACGGCCCAGACUCCUACGGGAGGCAGCAGUGGGGAAUAUUGCACAAUGGGCGGAAGCCUGAUGCAGCAACGCCGCGUGCGGGAUGACGGCCUUCGGGUUGUAAACCGCUUUCGCCUGUGACGAAGCGUGAGUGACGGUAAUGGGUAAAGAAGCACCGGCUAACUACGUG